GAGUUUGAUUCUGGCUCAGGAUGAACGCUGGCGGCGUGCCUAAUACAUGCAAGUCGAGCGAGAACUCGUGGAAUGGAGACUUCGGUCAAAGUGAAAUGAGGGAAAGCGGCGGACGGGUGAGUAAUGCGUGGGAAACCUGCCCUUUAGAGGGGGAUAGCAGUUGGAAACGACUAUUAAUACCCCAUACUCUUGAGUUUUCGCAUGAAAAUUCAAGGAAAGAUUUUAUCGCUAAAGGAUGGUCCCACGUCUGAUUAGCUAGUUGGUGAGGUAACGGCUCACCAAGGCGACGAUCAGUAGCCGACCUGAGAGGGUGAUCGGCCACACUGGAACUGAGACACGGUCCAGACUCCUACGGGAGGCAGCAGUAGGGAAUAUUGGGCAAUGGGGGCAACCCUGACCCAGCAACGCCGCGUGAAUGAUGAAGGUCUUCGGAUCGUAAAAUUCUUUUCUUGGGGAAGAACAAGGUGACG
rnacentral:rRNA from 1 species